rnacentral:rRNA from 1 species
UACGUAGGGUGCAAGCGUUUGUCCGGAAUUAUUGGGCGUAAAGAGCUUGUAGGUGGUUUGUCGCGUCUGCUGUGAAAAUCCGAGGCUCAACCUCGGACUUGCAGUGGGUACGGGCAGACUAGAGGUAUGCAGGGGAGAAUGGAAUUCCUGGUGUAGCGGUGAAAUGCGUAGAUAUCGGGAGGAACACCUGUGGCGAAAGCGGCUCACUGGACCAUUACUGACGCUGAUGCUCGAAAGCUAGGGGAGCAAACAGG